AGUGAACGCUGGCGGUAGGCCUAACACAUGCAAGUCGAACGGCAGCACAGUAAGAGCUUGCUCUUACGGGUGGCGAGUGGCGGACGGGUGAGGAAUACAUCGGAAUCUACUUUUUCGUGGGGGAUAACGUAGGGAAACUUACGCUAAUACCGCAUACGACCUACGGGUGAAAUCAGGGGAUCUUCGGACCUUGCGCGAUUGUAUGAGCCGAUGUCGGAUUAGCUAGUUGGCGGGGUAAAGGCCCACCAAGGCGACGAUCCGUAGCUGGUCUGAGAGGAUGAUCAGCCACACUGGAACUGAGACACGGUCCAGACUCCUACGGGAGGCAGCAGUGGGGAAUAUUGGACAAAGGGCGCAAGCCUGAUCCAGCCAUGCCGCGUGGGUGAAGAAGGCCUUCGGGUUGUAAAGCCCUUUUGUUGGGAAAGAAAAGCAGCAGGUUAAUACCCCGCUGUUCUGACGGUACCAAAAGAAUAAGCACCGGCUAACUUCGUG
rnacentral:rRNA from 1 species